rnacentral:rRNA from 1 species
CACGUAGGGCGCAAGCGUUGUCCGGAAUUAUUGGGCGUAAAGAGCUCGUAGGCGGUCUGUUGCGUCCGCUGUGAAAACUCGGGGCUUAACCCCGAGCCUGCAGUGGAUACGGGCAGACUAGAGGUAGGUUGGGGAGAAUGGAAUUCCCGGUGUAGCGGUGAAAUGCGCAGAUAUCGGGAGGAACACCGGUGGCGAAGGCGGUUCUCUGGGCCUUACCUGACGCUGAGGAGCGAAAGCGUGGGGAGCGAACAGG